rnacentral:antisense_RNA from 1 species
UGACUAGCCGUGUCGAGAUCGCAGCAUACCUAGAGGCCGCCAAGGAAGAGAACGAUCCAUCCCUUCUUGCUGCUGUCAUGGAGGACAUUCACCAAAUCGAAGCGCGGCAAAGCAAAGGAGACACCCAGUGACAUAUCGCCCAUUGGCGACAACGGAAAUGGCAGAGCUACGGGAAGAGAUGAAGGCUGCCGGAGAAUGGGCGAGAACGGUCUUAGGGCAAGAGCAGCGGCAAACGCCAGCAGUUUGCGAAUCCUGCCCUAGCACCUCAAAUUUCGUUCGUACGAAAAAACCAACCCCGCUCCGUGGAUAAGCCCUACUGCCCACAGGCCAAAAAAACGGCCUGAUGGACAGCCCUUCGGGAACGGGCUUAACCACCUCGCCAAGAUCCUCUCUCGAUUAUGAAGAGCUCAAAGACAACGGCCUAAAGGCCGCGCGAAAAAGGAUGUCGCAAAGCUCCCCGGUUAGCGGGCUCCCCUAUCUUUCCGCUGCGCUUCAAGAUAGGAGAGCCCUCCUGCUUGGCUACGUUAAAAAUGACGUAGUUACACAAGAUAGACUCGCCUUGCUCCGGACUAUCGAGACCGCUUGCGGCAGCUCCCUCUCACGCGCUCCAGAGACACACCCCGUCCUUGCUGCAUCUGCUUUAGUCCCCGCCUGAUGGCCAGACUGCCGCGCC